rnacentral:rRNA from 1 species
GGUUGUCAUGCCAAUGGCACUGCCCGGUAGCUAAAUGCGGAAGAGAUAAGUGCUGAAAGCAUCUAAGCACGAAACUUGCCCCGAGAUGAGUUCUCCCUGAGACUUUAGGUCUCCUGAAGGAACGUUGAAGACGACGACGUUGAUAGGCCGGGUGUGUAAGCGCAGCGAUGCGUUGAGCUAACCGGUACUAAUGAACCGUGAGGCUUAACCUU